AUUUCACUCCUCAGUUAAUACUGCAUCACAGUUCCUGUCCUGUUGACCUUCAUCAGGGCCAAGCAACUGGAGACUUAAGCCGUAACAAGACUGCAAAAAAAGGACUGGAGCAAGAAGAUGUGAUGUAUUCCUCUUUGACUUUCCUGCCAGAGCAGAAGGGCUUCCUGCACGUCUCGGGUGACUUCUGGGGCAGUGCUCGGGGAGAUUCGCUGCGCGGGGAAGCGGCACACCCCUCAGCAGGUUUCGCUUCCAGAUUUCUGUUGGUUAACACAGGCUGCGGUUGUUUCAUAUUAGAUAGAUGCUUCUUCAUUGGUGGUGUUAGAAAUGCACACAAGUACUGGUAAAGAAUGUUAUGAACUUUGAUAGUAAGAGUUCCUCUAGGAUAAGUGGACUGCAUCUGCCAGUACGACAGUGAGCUGGGGAUAUUUUCCGUGCCUUUUUAGGAUGCUGGACUCCAGGAAGUAACACCCUGACAAAGCUGGGCUCCUUUUAAAAAUACCCUGAAGGUGAGGUGUCAAACUGCUUGAAAAAUGGUACAUCAUAAACAGAUAAUACAUCAGCUGGUGAAAACAGAUACAAAAUUGCAUACCAUAUUCUUAGCCUAGCAUCCUCAUGGGGAUGGCCGAAACACAUUAAAAAUCUCUCAUCAAAGAGCCUGCUGUCUUCACGUCUGAAAUGUAUCCAAGCACGCAGCACUGCUGUGCUCCUCACUGUACUUCCUCUCUCGGAGGAGGAUACAUAAAUUCAGAUCCUUCCAGCUGACUCAUUCUGCACUGUAGACUAUAUUUGAGGUUUGAGAAUAAAGGAAUUAUCUGUGCUUAUUAAGCUAUUUACCUCCAUGUUUAUAGUUCAACAUUACCAAAAUAGCUGCUGCAGUGUACUGUUAUUAUUACCAGCAAUCAAUAUCUAACAGUAUGAAUGAGAGCAUAAGGAAUGGAAUUAUCACUCUUCUCUCCAAUUACAAACCUGCUCUAUAGAAUUUUAGUUUCUAUAUUAUUUUCCUUUUGCUAAUGCUACAUUGCACGUAAAAGUUCACGGUGUAUAACCCGAAAAAGAAAUAAAUAACCAGAAAUCCAUUUAA